GUCUAUUUAGAAGCCUUUAAAAAGUGCAUUUUGUUUAAUAUUUAAAUCUUUAAAGAAUUGGUUAAAAUUCAAUGAGAGAAAUCAGAAAUAUGAAAAAAGGAAGGUCAAGUGCCUUACUUUGUUGAAAUAUAAAGAAAUAAAACAAAAAUGUUCCUUUCAAACUCAAUUUAAUUAUCUGCCCUUGUUUUUUAAAUAAUUUUUUUUCCUGUAAAUUUAAAUACACUUCUUGACACUUAAUUGUUUAAUUGUAUAAUCUAAUAAUUUCAAGAUUUUGUUGUUUCUGUUGUAUAUUGAAUGAUAUUGGGCACAAUUUUUUUAAACCAAAAUAGCAUUUUUGCAAUAUGUCUCCCAGAAGAGAUGCAAAGAAAAAGGCAUCAAAAUUACCUAAAAACAAAUUUUGUUCCUUAAGGAUGUUUGCUUGUCAUGUUUUGGAAUUUUUUUCAAAUUUUCGAAAUCCUCUGGUCUUAUCCAUUUGACACAAUGUUUGAAUGCCUUAAAAAAAAUUGGGCAUGAACCCCCCAUUUUUCUUUUCAUAAACCUUUUACAUGUAUGAUUAUAAACCAUUUGUAAAAGUUUUAUAAAAUUUAUUACUUAAUAGUUUUUGAGAACUUUAACUGGUCAAUGAUAAAGCUAUGAAAAAUCAAAAGAGAACAUUUUCCUGCCAAAAUUCCAAUGGUUAAUAUCUCAAAAAACAAGCACAUUGACCCCUAUUUUUUUGCCUUUUUUGAAUCUUUAAUGAAUCCCCUAUUACAAUGUAAUUAGUAUAUUAAUAUAUACUAGUUUUAUGGAAAGUUAUUUAUUUGGAAACUAAGCAGCAACAUCCUUAAAGACUUCAAACUGAAUUCUGUAUGGGUGAUAAGAGAUAGCAGUAACUUAAAAUAUUUAAGAAUCGAAAAAACCUUAAAAACCUUAAUUGUUUAAAGCAGUUUCAUGGGAUAAGGGAUGGGAAAUUGCAUUUCUUUUAAUGAAAGCCUCCUUUCAUUCUUUAAGGUGGUACCAAACACCUUGACUGAACUUAAUUUGUCUUGUUUUAAUUUCAUAAUUUUUUUAUAAAAUAUUUACUUUGACCCUUUGACAAAAUAUAAAAAUUUCAAAAAAAACAAACACAUUAUUAGAAAAAAUUGGUUGGAUAUAUAGCAGUUUGACAAACACUAAUUUUGAUCAUUGAGAAGCUUCAUAUUUACUUAACAAUUGAACGUGAUUAAAAGGUUCAGUUGAUUUUAAAGAGUUUUCUCCCUGUAUUGUUAUGAACAACCUUAAAAGCCUAUAAGAUCAAGC
rnacentral:lncRNA from 1 species